CCUGUGAGGGUUGCUGGAGGUAUCAGAAGUGCGAAUGCUGACAUAAGUAACGAUAAAGCGGGUGAAAAGCCCGCUCGCCGGAAGACCAAGGGUUCCUGUCCAACGUUAAUCGGGGCAGGGUGAGUCGACCCCUAAGGCGAGGCCGAAAGGCGUAGUCGAUGGGAAACAGGUUAAUAUUCCUGUACUUGGUGUUACUGCGAAGGGGGGACGGAGAAGGCUAUGUUGGCCGGGCGACGGUUGUCCCGGUUUAAGCGUGUAGGCUGGUUUUCCAGGCAAAUCCGGAAAAUCAAGGCUGAGGCGUGAUGACGAGGCACUACGGUGCUGAAGCGACAAAUGCCCUGCUUCCAGGAAAAGCCUCUAAGCAUCAGGUAACAUCAAAUCGUACCCCAAACCGACACAGGUGGUCAGGUAGAGAAUACCAAGGCGCUUGAGAGAACUCGGGUGAAGGAACUAGGCAAAAUGGUGCCGUAACUUCGGGAGAAGGCACGCUGAUAUGUAGGUGAAGCGACUUGCUCGUGGAGCUGAAAUCAGUCGAAGAUACCAGCUGGCUGCAACUGUUUAUUAAAAACACAGCACUGUGCAAACACGAAAGUGGACGUAUACGGUGUGACGCCUGCCCGGUGCCGGAAGGUUAAUUGAUGGGGUUAGCGGUAACGCGAAGCUCUUGAUCGAAGCCCCGGUAAACGGCGGCCGUAACUAUAACGGUCCUAAGGUAGCGAAAUUCCUUGUCGGGUAAGUUCCGACCUGCACGAAUGGCGUAAUGAUGGCCAGGCUGUCUCCACCCGAGACUCAGUGAAAUUGAACUCGCUGUGAAGAUGCAGUGUACCCGCGGCAAGACGGAAAGACCCCGUGAACCUUUACUAUAGCUUGACACUGAACAUUGAGCCUUGAUGUGUAGGAUAGGUGGGAGGCUUUGAAGUGUGGACGCCAGUCUGCAUGGAGCCGACCUUGAAAUACCACCCUUUAAUGUUUGAUGUUCUAACGUGGGCCCCUUACCGGGGUUGCGGACAGUGUCUGGUGGGUAGUUUGACUGGGGCGGUCUCCUCCUAAAGAGUAACGGAGGAGCACGAAGGUUGGCUAAUCCUGGUCGGACAUCAGGAGGUUAGUGCAAUGGCAUAAGCCAGCUUGACUGCGAGCGUGACGGCGCGAGCAGGUGCGAAAGCAGGUCAUAGUGAUCCGGUGGUUCUGAAUGGAAGGGCCAUCGCUCAACGGAUAAAAGGUACUCCGGGGAUAACAGGCUGAUACCGCCCAAGAGUUCAUAUCGACGGCGGUGUUUGGCACCUCGAUGUCGGCUCAUCACAUCCUGGGGCUGAAGUAGGUCCCAAGGGUAUGGCUGUUCGCCAUUUAAAGUGGUACGCGAGCUGGGUUUAGAACGUCGUGAGACAGUUCGGUCCCUAUCUGCCGUGGGCGCUGGAGAACUGAGGGGGGCUGCUCCUAGUACGAGAGGACCGGAGUGGACGCAUCACUGGUGUUCGGGUUGUCAUGCCAAUGGCACUGCCCGGUAGCUAAAUGCGGAAGAGAUAAGUGCUGAAAGCAUCUAAGCACGAAACUUGCCCCGAGAUGAGUUCUCCCUGACUCCUUGAGAGUCCUGAAGGAACGUUGAAGACGACGACGUUGAUAGGCCGGGUGUGUAAGCGCAGCGAUGCGUUGAGCUAACCGGUACUAAUGAACCGUGAGGCUUAACCUU
rnacentral:rRNA from 1 species